AUUGAACGCUGGCGGCAUGCUUUACACAUGCAAGUCGAACGGUAACAGGUUAAGCUGACGAGUGGCGAACGGGUGAGUAAUGCAUCGGAACGUGCCCGAUCGUGGGGGAUAACGCAGCGAAAGCUGCGCUAAUACCGCAUACGAUCUGAGGAUGAAAGCGGGGGACCGUAAGGCCUCGCGCGAUCGGAGCGGCCGAUGUCAGAUUAGGUAGUUGGUGGGGUAAAGGCUCACCAAGCCAACGAUCUGUAGCUGGUCUGAGAGGACGACCAGCCAUACUGGGAGUGAGACACAGCCCAGACACCUACGGGAGGCAGCACUAGGGAAUUUUGGACAAUGGGCGAAAGCCUGAUUCAGCAAUGCCGCGUGCAGGAAGAAGGCCUUCGGGUUGUAAACUGCUUUUGUACGGAGCGAAAAGGCCCUCUCUAAUACAGUGGGCUCAUGACGGUACCGUAAGAAUAAGCACCGGCUAACUACGUGCCAGCCGCCGCAGUAA
rnacentral:rRNA from 1 species